GUGGAUGUGGCUCAAGCAGUAGCGUGCUCGCCUGGCAUGCGCGGGUCACUGGGUUCGAUCCUCAGCACCACA
rnacentral:tRNA from 1 species